CGGAGAGGUGGCUGAGCGGUCGAAAGCAGCUGACUCCUAAUCAGCAGGGGAUAACCCCCGCACGGGUUCGAAUCCCGUCCUCUCAG
rnacentral:tRNA from 1 species